rnacentral:lncRNA from 11 species
CAAGUCUCCAUGGCGAUGGGAUCCUGGGAAUUGUAGUUUUUUCUCACUGAUUCUCACCCUUCCGUUUGGGCCCAGGGCGAGCGACAGAGGAGGGAGAGGAGAAGCCCUUCGCCGCCUUCUUCUUCUGCUUCAUCCUCUUCAACUACUGCAACGAGGCUUCAAACUACGACUAGGCCGCUUCCCGUUGCUUGGCAACCCAGCCCGCCGCCCGCAAUGCCUCCUGGGAAACCGGCGGGAGGAAAGCCCGGCUACCUCGCAGCGCCAUCCGCGGCCAUUCCCUUCGCUGAUUAAAGUACGCAUGCGCAAAGUUGGAAACCUGAAAGAAGGACUUCAUUUCCCGUCAUGCUCCGGGACGGGUUGCGAGGGAGGAGCGGUCGGGGCGGGCGCGCAAGGGACGCCGGGAGGUGUAGUCCGUCGGUUGCUUCCCGCCCCCUUCUCCAGCCGCCGGGUCGCAGUCAUGUCCGCUCUGGAGAAGCAGCUGCAGCUAGGCCGCCUCCCGCCUCGGGCCCCGGGCCCCGCCGGAGGAAGCGCCCAGGGACCCCCCAAGAUGCGCAUGGGACCCGGAAGGAAACGUGAUUAUUCCCCAGUUCCAUGGAGCCAGUACUUUGAGUCUAUGGAGGACGUGGUUGUUGAGAGUGACUCCGGCAAGGAUAUAUCCUUUCCUCUUCUUUAAUUGAAUUGUUCCUUGUAAUGAGACAUUAUGAACGAUGAGACUUUGAAGCAGGGGAAGGUAACAGUCAGGGAUUGCUGGGAUAAGCAGCUGAGGGGAAAAGGGAAAGGGUCUGAGGCUAUUAGGAAUUGAGGGAAUUGAAAUCCAAAACACCUGGAGGGCCAAAAUUUGCCCAUGCCUGGUAUAGAUGCAAACACAUUUAUUGUGAAAUGCAUAAUCCAAAACACUUCUGAUCCAUGGCCUUUCAAAUGACGGAUGCUCAAUCUGUAUUUUGGAUUUUGCCAACAAAGACAGAGCCCCUUAUAUUAUUAUUAUUAUUAUUAUUAUUAUUAUUAUUAUUAUUAUUAUUAUUGUAUUUAUUAAUACCCCACUUUUAUCUCUCCCAAAGGAGACUCAAAACAGCUUAACACAAAAGCAUCAGCAUACAAUUUAAAACAUACAAAUAUGCAAACCUUAAAACACGAUUAAAUAUAAACAGUCUUAAAAAAAAUCCCACUUAAAAACCAUUAAAACAUAUUCAGGGUUAAAGCUAAAUGAAUGAAUUUUCUCCAAGAUACCUAACUAUGUGUAUAGAUGCAAAUACAUAUAUUGUGAAAUGCAAAAUCCAGAACGCUUCUGAUUCAUGGCCUUUCGAAAUGACGGAUGUUCAAUCUAUAUUUUGGAUUUUGCCUGCAAAGACAAAGCUCUUUACCACUAUUUUAUUAUUAUUAUUAUUAUUAUUAUUAUUAUUAUUAUUAUUAUUAUAUUUGUUUAUACCCCGCUUUAUCUCUCCCGAAUGAGACUCAGAGUGACUCAACACAAAAGCAUUAGCAUACAAUUUAAAAUAUACAAAUAUGCAAACAUUAAAAUAGGAUUAAAGAUAAACAGUAUUUCAAAAUUCCCCAGAUGAUGAUAAUGAUAAUAAUAAUAAUAAUAAUGCUUUCUAGGUGGUUCCAAUCAUGUUCUCUUUCUCUUGAACUUCCAAAAUGUAGCUCGGUUGAGCAAAGUUGGUAGAAACUUCUGAAAGAGUUGCUCAC